GACGGAGGAUGCAAGUGUUAUCCGGAAUCACUGGGCGUAAAGCGUCUGUAGGUGGUUUAAAAAGUCUACUGUUAAAAAUUGAAGCUUAACUUCAAAGAUGCCGUAGAAACUUUUAAACUUGAGGAUGGUAGGGAUAGAGGGAAUUUCCAGUGGAGCGGUGAAAUGCGUAGAUCUUGGAAAGACCACCAAUGGCGAAGGCACUCUACUGGGCCAUGACUGACACUAAGAGACGAAAGCUAGGGGAGCAAAUGGG
rnacentral:rRNA from 1 species